rnacentral:rRNA from 1 species
CCUACGGGCGGCAGCAGUGGGGGAUAUUGCACAAUGGGGGAAACCCUGAUGCAGCGACGCCGCGUGGGUGAAGAAGUAUUUCGGUAUGUAAAGCCCUAUCAGCAGGGACGAAAGAAGACGGUACCUGACUAAGAAGCCCCGGCUAACUACGUGCCAGCAGCCGCGGUAAUACGUAGGGGGCGAGCGUUAUCCGGAUUCACGGGGUGUAAAGGGAGCGUAGACGGCCGUGCAAGUCAGGAGUGAAAGCCCGGGGCCCAACCCCGGGACUGCUCUUGGAACUGUGCGGCUGGAGUGCGGGAGGGGCAGGCGGAAUUCCGGGUGUAGCGGUGAAAUGCGUAGAUAUCAGGAGGAACACCGGCGGCGAAGGCGGCCUGCUGGACCGCGACUGACGUUGAGGCUCGAAAGCGUGGGGAGCGAACAGGAUUAGAUACCCGGGUAGUC